CUUGGAUAUAGUCCCAUUCACAAGGGCGUUAAAUGCUUAGAUGUUUCCACCGGCAGGGUGUAUAUUUCUCGAGAUGUUGUGUACGAUGAAUCCGUAUAUCCUUUUGAGUCUCUUCAUCCCAACGCCGGAGCACUUCUUAGGAAAGAAAUUCUAGUACUUCCAUCCAAUCUCCAAAACCUUGAUCAAGGGGGCGACGAUUGCAAUAACCCAACUGAUGAUCCUACUAGCACUUCUUAUAUGCAGGGUCAUGCAGAACACAGUGCAGCAGACGGUGCAGAAAAUGAUCAAAUUUUUGAAGAAAACGGUGCUAUAUUUCAUGUGGCAGAAGAAGACGCAGCCAACGCGGAAGACGAGGGAGAUUUGGCGUCACCUGGAACUCCUGUGCGCCAGGAUUUCUCGGAUCGAGCGCGCAUCAGAUCUUCCCAGGAUCAUGUGCCUGGCAGAGGCAUGCCGUGUCGGUCAUCAGUCGCCACGUCGCCACAUGCAACCCCGCGUCCCACACGCGGGCCCGUGAUCAUGACGGAGCCGCCAGAAAGUGCGUCGCCAGGCGCGUCUGGCGCGAGAUCUGAGCCGCACGCCCAUGUACGGGGGCUCUCCAUGGGAUACUCUGCGGAUAUUGAAGCGGGUGCAACCUCUCCUUCUGACACACAGCAGACCACAGGAUCUGUUGCGCAAAGCAGCUCCAGAUUUUUUUCAGGAUCCUGUGCGGCUGAUUUGUCUACGCCACCUCCU
rnacentral:rRNA from 1 species